UACGAAGGGGGCUAGCGUUGCUCGGAAUCACUGGGCGUAAAGGGUGCGUAGGCGGGUCUUUAAGUCAGGGGUGAAAUCCUGGAGCUCAACUCCAGAACUGCCUUUGAUACUGAGGAUCUUGAGUUCGGGAGAGGUGAGUGGAACUGCGAGUGUAGAGGUGAAAUUCGUAGAUAUUCGCAAGAACACCAGUGGCGAAGGCGGCUCACUGGCCCGAUACUGACGCUGAGGCACGAAAGCGUGGGGAGCCAAACAGG
rnacentral:rRNA from 1 species